GGGUGACAGCCCCGUACACAAAAGCGCAUGUGCUGUGAGCUCGAUGAGUAGGGCGGGACACGUGGUAUCCUGUCUGAAUAUGGGGGGACCAUCCUCCAAGGCUAAAUACUCCUGACUGACCGAUAGUGAACCAGUACCGUGAGGGAAAGGCGAAAAGAACCCCGGCGAGGGGAGUGAAAAAGAACCUGAAACCGUGUACGUACAAGCAGUGGGAGCCCCACCACCAAAGCAUUUGCUGUACCGCGUUGACGGAGCGAAGCGACGUCAAACCGAUAAAACAGCAGUGUAAAGUGAGCCGCAGGGCGCUUUGCGCGACAGCGCAAAGGCAGGCGGUUUCGCGUAGCGAAAGCGAAUGCUUUGGGGUGGGGUGACUGCGUACCUUUUGUAUAAUGGGUCAGCGACUUAUAUUCUGUAGCAAGGUUAACCGAAUAGGGGAGCCGGAGGGAAACCGAGUCUUAAUUGGGCGUUAAGUUGCAGGGUAUAGACCCGAAACCCGGUGAUCUAGCCAUGGGCAGGUUGAAGGUUGGGUAACACUAACUGGAGGACCGAACCGACUAAUGUUGAAAAAUUAGCGGAUGACCUGUGGCUGGGGGUGAAAGGCCAAUCAAACCGGGAGAUAGCUGGUUCUCCCCGAAAGCUAUUUAGGUAGCGCCUCGUGAAUUCAUCUCCGGGGGUAGAGCACUGUUUCGGCUAGGGGGCCAUCCCGGCUUACCAACCCGAUGCAAACUGCGAAUACCGGAGAAUGUUAUCACGGGAGACACACGGCGGGUGCUAACGUCCGUCGUGAAGAGGGAAACAACCCAGACCGCCAGCUAAGGUCCCAAAGUCAUGGUUAAGUGGGAAACGAUGUGGGAAGGCCCAGACAGCCAGGAUGUUGGCUUAGAAGCAGCCAUCAUUUAAAGAAAGCGUAAUAGCUCACUGGUCGAGUCGGCCUGCGCGGAAGAUGUAACGGGGCUAAACCAUGCACCGAAGCUGCGGCAGCGACACUGUGUGUUGUUGGGUAGGGGAGCGUUCUGUAAGCCUGUGAAGGUGUGUCGUGAGGCAUGCUGGAGGUAUCAGAAGUGCGAAUGCUGACAUAAGUAACGAUAAAGCGGGUGAAAAGCCCGCUCGCCGGAAGACCAAGGGUUCCUGUCCAACGUUAAUCGGGGCAGGGUGAGUCGACCCCUAAGGCGAGGCCGAAAGGCGUAGUCGAUGGGAAACGGGUUAAUAUUCCCGUACUUGGUGUUACUGCGAAGGGGGGACGGAGAAGGCUAUGUUGGCCGGGCGACGGUUGUCCCGGUUUAAGCGUGUAGGUGUGUGUUCCAGGUAAAUCCGGUUCACUUUAACACUGAGGCGUGACGACGAGGCACUACGGUGCUGAAGCAACAAAUGCCCUGCUUCCAGGAAAAGCCUCUAAGCAUCAGGUAACAUCAAAUCGUACCCCAAACCGACACAGGUGGUCAGGUAGAGAAUACCAAGGCGCUUGAGAGAACUCGGGUGAAGGAACUAGGCAAAAUGGUGCCGUAACUUCGGGAGAAGGCACGCUGACACGUAGGUGAAGUGAUUUACUCAUGGAGCUGAAGUCAGUCGAAGAUACCAGCUGGCUGCAACUGUUUAUUAAAAACACAGCACUGUGCAAACACGAAAGUGGACGUAUACGGUGUGACGCCUGCCCGGUGCCGGAAGGUUAAUUGAUGGGGUCAGCGCAAGCGAAGCUCCUGAUCGAAGCCCCGGUAAACGGCGGCCGUAACUAUAACGGUCCUAAGGUAGCGAAAUUCCUUGUCGGGUAAGUUCCGACCUGCACGAAUGGCGUAAUGAUGGCCAGGCUGUCUCCACCCGAGACUCAGUGAAAUUGAACUCGCUGUGAAGAUGCAGUGUACACGCGGCAAGACGGAAAGACCCCGUGAACCUUUACUAUAGCUUGACACUGAACAUUGAGCCUUGAUGUGUAGGAUAGGUGGGAGGCUUUGAAGUGUGGACGCCAGUCUGCAUGGAGCCGACCUUGAAAUACCACCCUUUAAUGUUUGAUGUUCUAACGUGGACCCGUUACCCGGGUUGCGGACAGUGUCUGGUGGGUAGUUUGACUGGGGCGGUCUCCUCCUAAAGAGUAACGGAGGAGCACGAAGGUUGGCUAAUCCUGGUCGGACAUCAGGAGGUUAGUGCAAUGGCAUAAGCCAGCUUGACUGCGAGCGUGACGGCGCGAGCAGGUGCGAAAGCAGGUCAUAGUGAUCCGGUGGUUCUGAAUGGAAGGGCCAUCGCUCAACGGAUAAAAGGUACUCCGGGGAUAACAGGCUGAUACCGCCCAAGAGUUCAUAUCGACGGCGGUGUUUGGCACCUCGAUGUCGGCUCAUCACAUCCUGGGGCUGAAGUAGGUCCCAAGGGUAUGGCUGUUCGCCAUUUAAAGUGGUACGCGAGCUGGGUUUAGAACGUCGUGAGACAGUUCGGUCCCUAUCUGCCGUGGGCGCUGGAGAACUGAGGGGGGCUGCUCCUAGUACGAGAGGACCGGAGUGGACGCAUCACUGGUGUUCGGGUUGUCAUGCCAAUGGCACUGCCCGGUAGCUAAAUGCGGAAGAGAUAAGUGCUGAAAGCAUCUAAGCACGAAACUUGCCCCGAGAUGAGUUCUCCCUGAGACUUA
rnacentral:rRNA from 1 species